CGCGACAGGGAAGGGGGAGGGAGGAGCGAUCGUAGUAAUUCUCUUAAUUUCAAAUCCCUGUCGUGGCAGCACGGGCAAGGAAGAGGACUUUUUGCCCAUUCAAACUAAGGGGAAAACCCUCCACCGAGAGGCUAGUGCACGAGCUAAAGAGCAAACGGGGGACUUUUGGGAGGAGGAGACAUUAGUUUGAAGGCACGCUGUGGUGGUAUCAGCUCACUGUGGGCACUAGUGUCUCCUCACUUGCACUGGAUGUUUUGACUUCUCUGCGACUCGCAGGAUCCCCGAGAUCUCCCUGAAACCCGCCAAACGUUUACACGACAUCAUUCUAUAGGAGGUAUCUGUUGCUCAAGAUGGCGGCUGGUCUGGUUUAAUCGAGGACGGGUCAGGCCGAGAGAGACCUGAAGAAUCUUCUGCAUUCUAGUCCGUGAAUGUUAAUGAGUAUGGAACACUCUCUGGAAGUGAUAGACUUGUUGUUCAUGAGAGAGGAGACGCUGUCUGGUGGUCUUCUGUCUGUAGGGCAGACGGAUUUGUGGAAUCCAGUCAUAAAAAUGGACGGCGGACUACAGUUCCAGCAAACCUAGGCCUGGGGAAAUCAUUAACCAGAGAUAAAGCACAACAGCACACUGCUCUAAUGCACAGAACAGUGGCGUCUUUCUCCCACAACCCAAAGUGUCAGUUUCAUCCUCGUCAUCUUUAGACACGGCUUCUGCCAGCGGCGUUCGAAUCAUGCCCAGAACACACUGCUGCACUCUCCACAGGAAAAAAAGAAAAGAAAAGAGAAUGUUCCUGAUGUCUGGAAAAUGAAAACCGUUUGCUCAAGUGGAGUACAUCUCUAUACCGUUCCCUGUUGGAUGUUAGAAUGUUUGUGAUUUUUUUUUUUUUUACGCUAUAUCCUACCUCGCCUAAAAAAGUUUCCAGCCACAACUCGCAUUGUAUUUUUUGUGUUUAGCUUUGUUUUUCCCAUCAGAACUGACCCAUUUUUGUGUUUCGACCCACCAGUUGAGGACCAUUGUUUUUCC
rnacentral:lncRNA from 1 species